AUGUCGGGAGAAACCCAAAAAAUUAAACUCCUCCCGCGUGCCACCUCCCCGCGGCCGCGGAUGCGCAUGUCCCGUCCCCCGCCACCGCCAUGGCCGACGUCGGCGAGCCUCCUCCCUCGCUCUGCCCCUUAUGCGGCCACCCCGCUGCCUUCUCCGUUUCACCGUCGACGUCUGCGGCGGCCAGCGUGUCCCCCGCAAGGCCGCCGCUGAAGCGAAGGACCCCACCCGAGGCGCCACCUGCGGUCGUGAGGGUGGAGAUCGGGGAUGAGGCCGCGGCGCUGCGCGAGGCAUUGGCGCGGCAGCAAGCGGCGCUCGCCGACGUCCAGGCGGAGCUCGACGCGGAACGCGGGGCCGCGGCCGGCGCCGCCAGCGAGGCCAUGACCAUGAUCCUCCGCCUGCAGCGCGAGAAGGCCGAGGCCAUGAUGGAGGCACGCCAGUUCCGCCGCUACGCCGAGGAGAAGAUGGCUCACGACGCCGCCGAGCUCGCGGCCCUCGAGGAGGCGCUCUCGAAGCGUGAGGCCGGGAUGCGGGCGCUCCAGGGCCAGACGCCCCGUCACGCCUGCGCCGCGCCGUCGGGGGGCUCCACCCCACGACGCCCCUCUGUGGCCACGCCGCGUCACCCACCCUCCUCGCUGUCCCCCGCGGCGUCGUCCGGAGGAGGGUACUACCCGCCUCUGCGGUGCAGCAUCGACCACCCGCCCACCGCGUCCGAAGCAGACGCGCUCGAGACACCGCGCGACCAGCUCAACCACCUCGCCCACCGUGUCCACCUCCUCGAGCGCGGCGCGACCCCGAUGGCCGCCACCAACACCACGCCCAUCAUCCGUGUCGCGCCGGGGUCUGCCUUCCCGCACCAUGCACGGGCCUACUCGGAUGACAGCCUUGACUUGUACGAUGGUGGCGACUGCUUCCCGGAUGACGAUUGCGGCGCCAGCGACCGGGUAUACACCGUGGACGCCAUUCAUGGGGCACCCCUGGCGGUUCCUGAGGGCUCCUACGCCGGUAGCACGCCCAUGGGGAGCGACUGCUACGGCGGCGCUCCGUGGGCAGAAGACGAGGAGGUGCGCCGCCUCAGCGUGCGGAUGCAGGCGUUGGAGGCAGACCGUGAGUCCAUGAGGCAAGCCAUCAUGUCCAUGGGAGCCGAGAAGGCGCAGGUGAUGCUGCUCAAGGAGAUCGCGCAGAAGCUCUGCAAAGACGCGACACCACCGGUUCCAGCGGCAGCAGUGGCGCAGCACGGCUUUUACAAAGGGGGCAACACGCAGCCGGCCAUGACCAUCACUGUGCGACCACCACGGCACCCAGCUUUGCUUAUGCAAAGGAAACUGGUGAAGAAGAAGCCAUCACUCCUUGCUGUAGUGGUCAAGUGGGUUACAUCAAUCAUGUGGUGGCGAAGGAAAUCAUCUCGCGUAAAGUUCCCUAUUGGGCAGUGCGGCAACAACGUGGGGCUGCUUCUGCUGCUCGACAAGGCUCCUAGGGCAGGCCACGGGCACCAGAGGCCUCCCAAGAGGAUCUAACUACCAAAUGAGUCAUCUGUUUGUGAAGCAAACACAUGACUGGGCUUCCGCAUUGUUGGUCUUGCGUUCUUCUUUUCACCGUGUCUGUGUAGGAUAUACCACCUGAGCGUUGUACGUUGUGUGUUCAUGGGACUUCAAUCACCAGAAGUUGACUCAGAUCUUAGAAUCGAUCAUGGAAUUGACGUUCAUGGCACUUCACCGCUGAAUAUUGUUGUUGGGUGUGGGGCUGGACAAAAUACUCAUGGCUCGAUAACUCGCUCGACUCGGCUCGUUAGUAGCUCGGCUCGACUCGGCUCGUUUUGAUUCUGUAGCGAGCCAAGCUAGCAUUCUAGCUCGGUUCUCUAAUGAGCCAGCUCGGAUUAGCUCGUGAGCUAGCUCGCGAGCCAAACGAGCCAAGCCACAACACAAGUUUGUCUAGUCGUUAGUGUCGUCCCAUCUCUUAUAGUCUUGUUUUCUCGUAGCUAUGAUCUGUGAUAUGGACAUGUGUGAAUGUGCCAUAUGCUUAAAUGUUUGUAUUAUUGUAUGGCUACAUACCUACAUUGCAUAUUUAAUAUUUGAUUAUUGGUUAUGGUUUUGUGAACUUUGUUUCUAGCAGCAUAUGAUGUUAGUGUUGUGCAAUGAAAUGUUACAUGUUUGUGG